ensembl:snoRNA
GCAUGGCUGAAUUCUGUUUUACUCUUGACAUAGUAAACACAGUCAGACACCAUGCUAAAUGAUAGAUUUCACACACUGACCCAUUUAAAGGAUAUGAGUGCUUUUGAUGUGCCUCAUUCUUUUGUCAGAGUGAAUACAUGU